UACAGAGGUGGCAAGCGUUGUUCGGAAUUACUGGGCGUAAAGGGCUCGUAGGUGGCCAACUAAGUCAGACGUGAAAUCCCUCGGCUUAACCGGGGAACUGCGUCUGAUACUGGAUGGCUUGAGUAUGGGAGAGGGAUGCGGAAUUCCAGGUGUAGCGGUGAAAUGCGUAGAUAUCUGGAGGAACACCGGUGGCGAAGGCGGCAUCCUGGACCAUUACUGACGCUGAGGAGCGAAAGCCAGGGGAGCAAACGGG
rnacentral:rRNA from 1 species